AGGGUUCGAUCAUGGCUCAGGAUGAACGCUGGCGGCGUGCCUAACACAUGCAAGUCGAGCGAACCCUUCGGGGUGAGCGGCGGACGGGUGAGUAACGCGUGGGUAACCUACCCUAUACACACGGAUAACGUACCGAAAGGUACGCUAAUACGAGAUAAUAUAUUUUUAUCGCAUGGUAGAAAUAUCAAAGCUCCGGCGGUAUAGGAUGGACCCGCGUCUGAUUAGCUAGUUGGUAAGGUAAUGGCUUACCAAGGCGACGAUCAGUAGCCGACCUGAGAGGGUGAUCGGCCACAUUGGAACUGAGACACGGUCCAA
rnacentral:rRNA from 1 species